rnacentral:rRNA from 1 species
UACAGAGGUCCCGAGCGUUGUUCGGAUUCACUGGGCGUAAAGGGUGCGUAGGUGGUGGGGUAAGUCGGAUGUGAAAUCUCGGAGCUCAACUCCGAAAUGGCAUUGGAAACUGCCCUGCUUGAGGUUCGGAGGGGGGACUGGAAUACUUGGUGUAGCAGUGAAAUGCGUAGAUAUCAAGUGGAACACCAGUGGCGAAGGCGAGUCCCUGGACGAUACCUGACACUGAGGCACGAAAGCUAGGGGAGCAAACAGG